AUUGAACGCUGGCGGCAGGCUUAACACAUGCAAGUCGAGCGAGCGGCGGACGGGUGAGUAAUGUCGGGGAAACUGCCUGAUGGAGGGGGAUAACUACUGGAAACGGUAGCUAAUCCCGCAUACCAUCAGAUGUGCCCAGAUGGGAUUCGCUCGUAGGUGGGGUAAUGGCUCACCUAGGCGACGAUCCCUAGCUGGUCUGAGAGGAUGACCAGCCACACUGGAACUGGGGCACGGUCCGGACUCCUGCGGGAGGCAGCAGUGGGGAAUAUUGCACCGUGGGCGCAGUCCGGAUGCCGCCAUGCCGCGUGUGUGAAGAAGGCCUUCGGGUUGUAAAGCACUUUCAGCGAGGAGGCGGUACUCGCAGAAGAAGCACCGGCUAACUCCGUGCCAGCCGCCGCGGUAAUAC
rnacentral:rRNA from 1 species